rnacentral:misc_RNA from 1 species
CGCUGUGUGGCUACGACAGUAAAGAAUAUAGCCUCCCCCUCUCUUCCCGUGGGUGUCAUAAGAGGUGACUAAGGGAUAACACAGUUCCAUUACCACUUUGGAACUUAAAAAGACUACCGAUAGUGGGAUAACCAUCCAACUGCUGGCUUUGAAACAUACAGGCCGAAGACGGGCAGCAGCGUCUUCGGUGCGACAAAGCCAGCCCUGCGGUCACC